rnacentral:misc_RNA from 1 species
UUACGUCAUCUCUGGAAACCGUCCUGCCAUGUCAAGGGCUGGUAAGGUUCUGCGCGUUGCUUCGAAUUGAACCACAUGCUCCACCGCUUGUGCGGGCCCCCGUCAAUUCCUUUGAGUUUUAAUCUUGCGACCGUACUCCCCAGGCGGAAUGCUUAAUGCGUUAGCUGCGCCACCGAGGAGCAAGCUCCCCAACGGCUGGCAUUCAUCGUUUACGGCGUGGACUACCA